AUCCUCACUUUGACAGCACAUAUACUAAAAUUAGAUCAAUACAGAGAAGAUUACGAUGGCCAUUACCAUGGCCAAGGAUAACAUGCAAAUUCAUGAAUAAGCUUUGCAUUAU
ensembl:snRNA U6 U6 spliceosomal RNA